AAAGAAACAACAUUCUAAACCCUGAAGUUCCAUGGCCCCAGAAGAUGAAGAUUAGUAUAAGAAAUGAGUGGACCCAGAGAUGACCACUACAUGCCAAGUUUAACAGGAGGCAAAACAUGACAUAAAGCCUCAAUACAGGAAUUAAAGUUUAACAGAUACAACAGUGAUCUUUAAAGAAGAGACAAAAAUGAAAGCAAGCUCUAAGGGUAGAGCAACAAUCUCAUUAAGAUGAUCCUGGCACCUACAGUAAAGGCACAGUGAGAAGAUGGUAUGAGGAGGCCUGAUGGCUCAGAGAUAUUGCCCUUUAAGCAAAUGGUGAUAUUUGAAAUGUGCCGGCCACACGAAUGUCCGAUCACAGCCCUCAACUGUGCACUGGAGCCUCUUCUCUUCUUGAGGAAGAUGA